rnacentral:rRNA from 1 species
AGUGAACGCUGGCGGUAGGCCUAACACAUGCAAGUCGAACGGCAGCACAGAGGAGCUUGCUCCUUGGGUGGCGAGUGGCAGACGGGUGAGGAAUACAUCGGAAUCUACUCUGUCGUGGGGGAUAACGUAGGGAAACUUACGCUAAUACCGCAUACGACCUACGGGUGAAAGCAGGGGACCUUCGGGCCCUGCGCGAUUGAAUGAGCCGAUGUCGGAUUAGCUAGUUGGCGGGGUAAAGGCCCACCAAGGCGACGAUCCGUAGCUGGUCUGAGAGGAUGAUCAGCCAAACUGGAACUGAGACACGGUCCAGACUCCUACGGGAGGCAGCAGUGGGGAAUAGUGUACAAGGGGCGCAAGCCUGAUCCAGCCAUACCGCGUGGGUGAAGAAGGCCUUCGGGUUGUAAAGCCCUUUUGUUGGGAAAGAAAUCCAGCUGGCUAAUACCCGGUUGGGAUGACGGUACCCAAAGAAUAAGCACCGGCUAACUUCGUGCCAGCCGCCGCGGUAA